rnacentral:lncRNA from 1 species
CAGGCCUGGGGACGCCUACGACCAGUGCCGGGUCUUCUUGAGGGACAACGACGCCACGCUCUAUAAUGAGUCGCUGGCUCAGUUACAGAGCGUUUGCAACACUGUCAUGUGCAGGAGUCCCCACCGCAUAGGCUACUUCAAGGCAGGACCGGCGCUGGAUGGCACAUAUUGCGGCUCCGAAAGUUGGUGCGUUGCAGGAUCUUGCACGCCGUGGCCGGCCAGCAAGGCACCGGUCGUGGUUCUGGGUGGUUGGGGAGCCUGGCAACACACGAGCU